rfam:Steinernema glaseri strain NC unplaced genomic scaffold GLAS_6420, whole genome shotgun sequence.
GCCUGGAUAGCGCAGUAGGCAGCGCGUCAGUCUCAUAAUCUGAAGGUCGUGAGUUCGAUCCUCACUCCGGGCA